rnacentral:rRNA from 2 species
GAUGGGAGCUUGCUCCCUGAUGUUAGCGGCGGACGGGUGAGUAACACGUGGGUAACCUGCCUGUAAGACUGGGAUAACUCCGGGAAACCGGGGCUAAUACCGGAUGGUUGUUUGAACCGCAUGGUUCAGACAUAAAAGGUGGCUUCGGCUACCACUUACAGAUGGACCCGCGGCGCAUUAGCUAGUUGGUGAGGUAACGGCUCACCAAGGCGACGAUGCGUAGCCGACCUGAGAGGGUGAUCGGCCACACUGGGACUGAGACACGGCCCAGACUCCUACGGGAGGCAGCAGUAGGGAAUCUUCCGCAAUGGACGAAAGUCUGACGGAGCAACGCCGCGUGAGUGAUGAAGGUUUUCGGAUCGUAAAGCUCUGUUGUUAGGGAAGAACAAGUGCCGUUCAAAUAGGGCGGCACCUUGACGGUACCUAACCAGAAAGCCACGGCUAACUACGUGCCAGCAGCCGCGGUAAUACGUAGGUGGCAAGCGUUGUCCGGAAUUAUUGGGCGUAAAGGGCUCGCAGGCGGUUUCUUAAGUCUGAUGUGAAAGCCCCCGGCUCAACCGGGGAGGGUCAUUGGAAACUGGGGAACUUGAGUGCAGAAGAGGAGAGUGGAAUUCCACGUGUAGCGGUGAAAUGCGUAGAGAUGUGGAGGAACACCAGUGGCGAAGGCGACUCUCUGGUCUGUAACUGACGCUGAGGAGCGAAAGCGUGGGGAGCGAACAGGAUUAGAUACCCUGGUAGUCCACGCCGUAAACGAUGAGUGCUAAGUGUUAGGGGGUUUCCGCCCCUUAGUGCUGCAGCUAACGCAUUAAGCACUCCGCCUGGGGAGUACGGUCGCAAGACUGAAACUCAAAGGAAUUGACGGGGGCCCGCACAAGCGG